AUACGGAGGAUGCGAGCGUUAUCCGGAUUUAUUGGGUUUAAAGGGUGCGUAGGCUGUGCGUCAAGUCAGGGGUGAAAUGCCGUCGCUCAACGACGGAGCUGCCCUUGAUACUGGCGUGCUGGAGUACGGAUGCCGUUGGAGGAAUGAGUGGUGUAGCGGUGAAAUGCUUAGAUAUCACUCAGAACACCGAUUGCGAAGGCAUCUGACGAAUCCGUCACUGACGCUGAGGCACGAAAGCGUGGGGAUAGAACAGGAUUAGAUACCCUGGUAUUCCACGCCGUAAACGAUGAUGACUAACCGUCGGCGAUAGACAGCCGGUGGCCAAGCGAAAGCGAUAAGUCAUCCACCUGGGGAGUACGUCGGCAACGAUGAAACUCAAAGGAAUUGACGGGG
rnacentral:rRNA from 1 species